CUGGCCAUCUCUAUCGUCCGUGAGUGGGUUCGUGGGGGAAAACCGCACUCCAGGAGAGAAGUCCCGAAGUACCGUGAGGAUUACACACUCUACGUCGGGCGCUAUCAGACGUGCAGGAGAAAAGUUAAGAAGCUUCUGCACUAGGGAAACUCAUAGUCAUCUUUUUUUAAAAGCUGGCAGGGUGCGGGCAGGUAACAGGCCUGAUUCCGCUCCGUAUUGGCACCGAGGCUUUGCCUUCUUCUGUUUGUCACCCGACUGGCUUUCCCCUUUCUUCUCCCCGGAGCGCUCCCCACAAGGAUGCAAAACGUACUUCAGAGGUCCGACUGGUAAAGGCUACACACAGAAGCCCAGAACUCCUGAGCGCGAGACAUUCACCCAUCCAUGGCGGCAAAGGUUCUUUCACCUUGGUACGCACUUGGCACGAGGGAGGCAAUCGGUAAACAACCAACUAAAGAAAUAGAAAGUAGAUAAAGAGGAGAGCCCGGGGAGUCUCAGCAAGGAAGGCGCUAGCCGCUAGUAGAGCCCGGGGUCAUCUGAGGCGAGCGAGCCUUCGGGGAAGCGGCAGAGCCUGGGCAAAGGCUGAAGAGGUAUGGGCGGCCAGGAUGUGCCGAACUUGAAACGUCUGAGGAGUUUGCAUUUGAGUUCGGAGGGAGGGUCAACCUUUGGAGCUCUUGAGCUGGAGACACCAUUAGAGGACGGACGGCAGGCUGCAGGCCUCAGGACUUUCCCUUUGUGCACCAGGAACCUCACAGCCUGGGAAGAUCUCAUCAGCCUGGCCUCCCUCCCUCUGACUGGACAGCUCCACGAAGGAGGUGCCCAGGCCUUUAAUUUCCCACCUGGAUGCACUCCUUGAGAUUUCUCCAUCAUCCUUCUUCAUUAGAUACCUUUCCUUCCUAACCCUUUUUCCUUUUGUGGGUUGUCUUCCACCAUUAGACUGUAAGCUCUUUGUGGACAGGAAAUGUCUUUCUUUUUUAUAUUUUUAUCUCCAGCAUUUAGUACAGUGCUUGGCACACAGUCGGUGUCUAAUAAGUGUUUAAUGACUGACUGGGGUGAAAGGUGCAGAUGUAAGUGAUAAGUCAUAUUCAUGAAUCAUCAUUUUAUUUUUCUCUAAGUUGGGGUGGUGGCAUCAGCAGGUAGAAUGGAAGACGCCUCCCACUCUGACUCCUUGAGCAGCUAGAGCAUUAUAUUCUUUCACAGCCUGUUCUGUCUGAAGGACUAGUACAUUUAUUCCUUGUUUCUUGAGGUAGUCCACAGUGGAUGCUGGCACCUGGGAAGGAGAUGAACAGAGAAGAAAGCUUGAAUUUAAAGAGCCAGCUAGUCUAUUAACUACCUUCUCAUUACUGAUUGGAAACACAAGGACACCACUCACACCUCAUUCGUGGGAACAUCAUUCAUCUAGCAACUCUGACUAUCUGGAAUAUAGCUGGAAACCCAGGAGGAUGGCAAAAGGGUGUCUAAAGAGCUAAAAUAGAUGUUUUGAAGUCUAUUUCAUGAGAGACUCCUGCUCCAGUCUAUAUACUUACCCUUGUUUUAAAAAUAAUUCUACCAGCUGUUGUGAAUCUCAGUUUCCAGCCUGCAGCAGAUUAGAAGGAAUAAAUCAGAGGCAACAUUCAGGCUACUCAGAAGCACCGACAGCAAUAACAAAGCCACCUCUGAUACAGUGCCCAAAUGAUAAACACUGAAAACAAACAUCUAAAUGGAUGGGGCCAUUUAGUGUAGGGGCAGCCUCAACUCUGAGAGCAGCAAUGGAUUAUUGGGCCGGAAAGACUGAUGUUCACAAAAAUGAUCACAAAUCAUCAAGAAAGGCUUCGGUUCUAUUCAAUAUACCAUAUGAAUGGUACUACUACUAACUAUAUUUGACAUGAGAAAAGAUUCCAUCCAGUGCUUCUAUACAUGUGACUUUACUAGAAAGGGCAGUUCCACAACUGUCUGUCACAAAUCUCAAGCAUUUUGUAGCUGGGUUCAUAAAUGACUGGCCAAAAUGUGAUUCUCCCUUUAGUGGUCAACCACAUGUGUUUGGUAAGCCUGGUCUUCUGACAAAAGGCAUGUGGAACUGUCCUGAGGUCUUUCAGGUGAGCAGGACUUGCCCAAAGGUGUACUCCAGUGGUCCAGCCUCUAGCCAUGAAGAACAUGAUGGAGAACAUCCGAAAUAAAUUUUUUUUUUAAUUAAAGGCUUAGUGCUUAAAAGAAGCAAACUGAAGUUUUUCUAGAUAGUUCACCUGAGUGAGAAAAUAAAGUCAGAUCUUGUAUUUGGUUCUCAUUUAGCCAAUGUAUAAAAGAAUGAGUCACAAUUGUUUUGUCUGUUGCCAAGGGUCUGCCCUGGAUGAAUAUAUGAUAUUAUUAUAAUAUAUAAUACAUUAGAUGUAUUUGUGUCAUAAAAGAUGAGUUGCAGACCAUGGUAAAAAAGCACCAAAGUAUAGUUAUAGAAGGAUAGUUAUAGGUCUGAAAAUUCUUAGCAACUGUGGACAAGCAACUUAACCUCUCUGAGCCUGUUUUUUCAUCAUUAAAUGGGGAUGAAAACAUUUGAACUACAUACCUUACUACUCUGUGGGAAAAAAAAUACCACAGAAAUGGGAGCUAUUUCCUAUUGUUGGACAACUGGAAUAAAGCUUGCCUCUAUUCACCUUUCAAUAGUGUUUUGAAAAUUUUCUAUUUAAAAAGGGAAACUGGGGGGGGGGGCAGUUCUUUAUAGAUGUGAACGUUCUCCUGUUUUCUCCCUCCUUCCUGACUAUGCCUUUCUGGGGAAGGUCUCAAGUGGAGCACUAUAAGAGCCUGUACAAAAAGCACUAUGAAAGUGUUUAAAGCUGAGCAAUGACAAGUACGAUGGUUUGGGAAUACUAGGAUUAGACUCUUCCUGGGAACAGAGAAAUCUAAGACUCAGAGAUGGAAUAGUACUAUGGACGAGAGAGGAUCCAGGCACUGAUCCUAUUUCUGAUAACCCUGUAUACCUAAAUGAGAUCGUAUUGGUUCGGGGACCUUGAGAUAGAGUAUUCACAAAGCAACAAAAACCACAGUAACAGAAAAUUGGGGAAAGAGUAGGUCGAGGAGAUCACUGCCAUGAGUUGUAUCACUCUGUCCAAUACGCACCUUCAAUGCUUCACUCAUUCCACGGCCAAUUACAAGGGUUUGGACCCCCUUCUUGGCUACUUCUUCCACAUCUGCAGGCUGCACACCUGGGGAAUGCUGAAUUUGGAAACAAAAAGUUUACUAUGUGCCCAGGACACUAGUUUCUUUAUCCUUCCUUUGCAAAUGGAAUUCUUGUGGCAUGAUAUAAAAAUCUCCUUGUUUGAAGGACCUUAAAAACAGAUCAGUUUUCACCUGACAGGGACAAUGCAGUCUUGCCCAAAGAUAGACAUAUGAGGAAGAUAAUUUCUUAAAUCUACUUUAUGAUUCUGUGAAAUCAUUGUCUUCCCAUAUAUCAGGUAACUCAUAUUUUGACUUUCUUAACUGCCAGAGAAUUUUCAAUCAUAGCAAGAAUGUGGCUAAGUAUAAAAUGUACACUUAAGGAAAAAUAAUUCAAAUAUUUUGAGGCCGGAGUACUCUGGACUACCAGGGAAAGGGAAUUAAUAGAAUAAGUCUGAACCUUGAGAUAAAUUGUAUUGAAUCGCACAGUCAUAAGGGAUCUUAAAGAACCCUUACCUGAUACAUGAAUACCUUCUACAACAGUCUGAAGAAGUGAUCUUUCAGUCUCUGCCCAAAUACCAAAAAGGAUGAAAAGCUCACUUUCUCAUUAGGAAGCUCAUUCUAUAGUUAGACAAAUGUUAACAAGUUCUCUUAGCUCACUGGGCUAAAUAUUGCUUCCCUGAACUUACUACAUAGCCUUCAAAGUUCUAGACUUCAGAGAUACACAGAAUAAAUCUAAACUCCUCUAGUCUUCUUUAACAUUGCUAAUUAUUUCUUUCUUUAUUAUAAUUUCUCUUUCCUGGGGCUUUGUGAUAUUUGUUUCUCCUGGGUCUUCUACUACCUCUCUAACUGGUUCUUCUCAAGCUCCUUGCUGGAUCACCAUCCAUUUCUACUCCCUUCUGGGUAGGUAUAUCUCCAGGAUUCUGUUAUGGGUCUAAUUUUCUUUCCUCUAUAUUCUGUCUUAGAGAUUUCAUAAGGUCCCAUGAGUUCAAUAAUUUACUCUAUGAAGAUAACUCCAAAAAUCUAUGUAUGCCCUAAUAUUUCUCCCAAGCUCUAAUCCAAUUGCUAACUGCCAGAUGGACAUACAUCUUUACCUGGAUGUCCCACAGGUAUCUCAAAUUCAUAAUGUCAAAAACAGGACUCUAUCAUUCUCCACUAAACCCUCUUCUAUUCCUAAAUCUUUAUUUCUGUCAAGGGCACCACCAAUGCUUUAGUCUGGUUUCAACCAUAGUCAUCCUCAACUCUUCUUCAUACCCUCCAUAACCAGUGGAGGUUAAUAACUACUCUGAUAACUCUAUAAUUCAAAUCUCUCACUUCUAUCUUCAUAUCUUUAUAUAUAGACAUCCCUCAUUUCUCCUCUUCCCCUUCCCCUCUAGUUCUAGCCCUUGCUCACUCUUGACUAGAUUAUUGUAAUAGCUUCUUAAUUGGUCUGCUGGAUUCUAGACUUUACUGUAUCUUCUCUAGUCCAUCUUCCACAUACAGCUGCCAAAUUUAUAAUCCUAAACCUCCUUAUUGCCCUUAGAAUAAUGUACCAACACUCUUGGUGGUGAGGGAGAUCUAAAUUGAAAAUUGCCCUGAGAAAUUCAGCCAGGAAAAAUGCCAAGGCCCCGCUAUAGACAGAUAAACUUCAAACCUGGCCAAGGCCUCGCUACAGACAGAUAAACUUCAAACCUAGCCAAGGCCCUGGCUGGGACCUGUCCAAGGUCCCUGAUAAACUUCAGCACCAAGACCCCAGGUGCAAAAAGCAACUUUCCAACAAGGGCAUGCAACAGGGGAAUUAUUCAUGCUGAAAAGUAUUUAAGACUAAAUCUUCAGUAGGGAAAUUGGAACUCUGAUGGCAGAGGUUCCCACUGAUGCGUGUAUCAGUUCAAUAAAUGGCCUUUCUCUGCCUGUUUGCAUUGUCCAUGGUCUUCCUUGGUGGUGGGUGAAUUCCCGGACCUUAACAUUUAGGGGCUCGCCUGUAUGCCCCACCUUGGAACCCCCAGGACAGGAGGGCCUAAGGCACUGCCUUCAGGUGAGCUGAGUGUGGUGUGGCUGUGUGUGCGAAUGGUGACCGAAUGUAGCGUUUGUGGCCAGGGGUGGGGAAGGAAUACAGUCCGGGGCACAUCCCACACUUGGAACUUUCAGGGUGUUCGAGGCCCCUGAGCACGGUAGUUCAAGUCUCCGUCUAGUUGUCAGGCCCUGAGCACGGGAUUUUGCGUCCCUGUCAGGUACCCUGGCACUUUUGGGAAUUCCAGUUCCCUGUGGACAGAGUUCGAGUCUCUGUUGGGAAAGGGGUUUUUCAGUCCCCUUUUUGGGAAGAUAUUGCACUCCUAGGAGAGACUGGGGGAAGCCCCACGAUCUCUAGGUGAUUUUUAGACACACUGAGGUUUUUUUUGCCACACGGAGGGAUCAGGUGGCCAGCCACUGGCUGCUUGCCCCUGACAGAUAGCUGGAGGCAGUGGAAGGAAUCUGGAGACAGCCGAAGGGAGCUGGCCACUGAUGAGUAAUUGCUGGUAUCAGGUUUCUUUCUUUACUGCCGCUGGCCGCCAAAGGAAGCUGAAGUGAAGCAGUCAAGCAGCUGAAGGAAGCUGAAGGUCAGGUUUCUUUCCUGAUUAAAACCUAGCUGCUUUGGGCAGUUGUUAACCCUUUCCUUGCAACUUCUUGGUCUCAAUAAUAGAAAAUCAGCCUGUUUGGUUUUACGGUCCUUACAAGUACAUGCCAAGAAAUGAGAUCUUAAGAUCAGCUCCUAGAAUCGGGGUAGUUUACGUGUCCGUGUCUCUGUUGUUUGUCUUCUGGCUUUUGCUGUUUGUCUCGUGUAUCUUUCUGUAUUUGGACACAGGUAUGUGGAUGUGUGGGAGAGGGUGUCUUAUAGGGUUCUUUGAGUCUUUGUUGUGGCUGGAUUAAUGGGGGAAAAAGGGGGGGAGUUUGGGAUGCAGGGUCACAAAGGAGAAUAGAUUUUGCACCCCUGCUCCCUCUGCCUGCGUUCCAAUCAGGCAGGCUAUGAUGAAGUAACACUGUGCCUGCUCCUGAAGCAGGCUUCAGGGCGGGAGAGAGAGUGCAAUUACCCGUUCAAUGAUUUUUCCCUCCUUCUCCCUUUGGAUGGGCCCCCAAAGGAGCGGAAGAGAGAAAAUUCUGAGCAGAAAAGGGAGAUUCUUACUCCACACUUAGAAACUUACAUUUAAAAUUAAUUCUCAACUUGGGUGGAUUGCUAAUGGUUUUCAUAUGGUACAAAUGUAAUAUAUUACAACAAAACUCCUGAUUAGAAGUUUGCUUUGUUAAACCUUGCAAUGCAUAAUGAUUUCAGUGAAUUUGAGAAUUGUGUAAAUGUGAUUGAUAGCAAGUCUGAUGCAGAGAGGAAAGUUUAUUCUGUAUGGACAGAAAUUGUACUGACUACUUUAUAGAUGUAAAAGUCAUUCAGAAAAAGUUAUGUUGUUGAAAAGAACUUAUUCUAGAAUUUGAAUUUGGGAAUCCUUCAAAUCACAUUUAUUUUAAUGUAUGUGCUGUCAGAAAUAGCAGCAAGAAAUUAUAUUCCACACAAAGAGUUUUUUGUUAGUUAAUCUGUGCACGGGAUUAAUGAGAUAAAUGCUAAAAACUGAUAUUUUACAAAAGGGGAAAUUUUUAAAUGAUCAAGGUUAUAUGAAUUGUUUUUAAAUGUGCAAAAUGCAUAGGAAGGAAUUUGUAAUCUAGAAAUGAACAUGUAUGUAUUCAGAUGUCAAAUGCUGGAAAUUAGUAAUGCUGAAUAAAUGCUAGAUAUGUAUACGUUAUAUUAUGAAGAGGAUUCAGUUUUCCACCUAAAUAGGUUAAGGGUAUAUGACAUAUAGCUGUAUGGCCUUAACAAGACAAAUUCAACCAGCCCUGUAAUCGAGAGGGCUUGUCAUGAGGAUUAAAUACAGUCUAGCUUCAGAUAUAUCAGAGAGGUCAGGCUGGAAUGCCGGGUAACAUGUAGCUAGGGAAAGGUGAUUAAGUACAUGUGAAAGGAAACAACUUCUUAUCUUAUAACCUAACUAUAUAAGUUAAUAAUUGGAUUUUGGAGUGUCUGGAUUCAUUUUAUGAAGUGCUCCAUUUCAAUGAGAGUAAUGAAUAGAGAUACUAGUUGAUAUUAUGAUAUAACAAAUUAUAAAUUGGGAUUUAAUCAAGUAUGUAGCAAUAUUUUGAGCUAAAAGAAAACUAAAAUGAAGGAUCUAAAUGCUUUGUACUUCAGUUUGGUUACACACUGAAAGAUUGCUAAAGAACUUAAUCAAAGUUAUUUGGAAGUUGUGGAGUUCAAACUAAAAUUCACUGAGAGUAAAUUAUUAUGAAAGAGGUUUGAUAAAUUCAAAAUUUUAAAUUGCAGUAAGCUAGUCACUGGUUAAAGAAGGAUGGGCCAGGGUUGCUAAGUAAUAAAAUCUAAGUCAAGGCCAGCAGCCUUGGGAUAAAAUUGCUCAGAAGCUAUUAACCCCUUCCUUGCACCCAGGAAGGAUAAAGAAGUGCUUAUAAAAUUAUGAACUGACAUAGGGGCUUCAAAGAGUUAACAACCGCUGUGUGAUAGAACUUAAAGAUGAGUAUAUCUUAAUUGUAGAAACGGAGGGUUUAAGGUGCUCAAGCAAGCAGAUAUUGCCAGCCCUGUCUAACCAAAAAGCUUGUUUGCAGCUGUGGAAUCUCACUACAAACAUUCCAGGUCCAGGAUGAUAAAAUGAGUUGAGUAAUAUUUAAUUGAUAAAGUUACCUCAUGCGAGUUCUGGGAUUGUUGGUUGAUAUUUUGAUUACAGUUUGAUCUGUAUAAAUAUACUUGGGCAAUAGCCAAAGAAUAGGUAGGGUGUUAAAAAUGACAUAUAUGUGAAAAUGCUUGCUCAGAAAUUUAUGAUUGUUAUGUCAGUGGCUGCUAAAAUGUGUUUAAGUAUUAUUUGGAUGUAAACAAAACCUUAUUGUAAACCCGACCCUACCAUAUAUUUUGUUACCUCAGUCUACCAAUUUGUACUAUGAACUGAAAUUUAUAAUGGUUGAGCUCUAUGCAAAAGACUGUUCAAUGAUGUAAUCUUUUCAAAUCAGAAUUCUUUGGGGUUACUAAUUAGCAAUUGAAGUGAUACCAGGGGGCUGGUUGUUUGACUUAUGAUGGUAAAAGCAUGGUAGAGAAAGUGGGGAGGUAUGUUGGGUUUGAAUUUGGAAGAAAGGGACUUUGAUUUAAAGUCCAUAAAGCUUUAGUAUAUGGGUUUGUAAAGGAAGAAUGGAUGGUGUGUUCUGCUUUUUAAGCAGAGGGUUUUGAAGGAACAGAGAGGGAGAGAGAGAGGGUGAAAGAGAACAGAUGAAUGUUCUGCUCUCAUAAUUGGCUCUUUAACUUAGGGAUAAUAUAUAAAGUGAUGUAUGUGGGAAAAUCACACAGGAUUCUUUAAAUUCUCUGGACAGUUACCCUAAAGUGAUUCCUGCAUGACCUUGUCUUGGUCUUUCAGACGGCCUAGGUCCAGAAGAUGAUACAGCCCUGAUUUAUAGGGAACUACUUAAUUCAGCACUCAUGUGACUACACCUGAUGUGUAAAUACAUGAAAAUAAUUGAGGGUUCAGCCUUGUAGGGAUAUUAAAGGCUUGUUUGGGGGUAUGGAGAUUUGUUUGUGGAUUGCUGAUAAGCAAAAUUUCUCUCAGCUGAAAUGGGGGAAAACUUGUCUUUUAAGGAAAAAGAAGGCUUCUGGGACCCAGUGGCAAGUGCUCUAAGGAGAUAAAAAGUCCUAGGAUGGUUAUAGAGAAGGCAGCCCAAGGCUCACUUUGGACUGAAUUUUCCUGACCAUCCUCGAGUGGAACAACAAUGGCAAGUGACAGCCUUGCUUGGUGUCUCUUUUGUGACUUGGAGAUAUUUCCCUUUCAGGGCUUUCUUACUUCUUGACAAUUCCCAUGAUCAGCACAUAAUGCAAAUUGUGAUAUUAAAGUUUCCAUUUCCUCAAACAACCCUAAUAAUUGGGAAUUCUCAAAUUGUUAGGAACAUGCUUUGAGAAAUAGGUGGAAUUUAAUCCUAGAUGGCAUAUAUUUGUAGCCUUAAUUUACCACAGUUGAAGUUUGGUUCUUGAGCUUGGAAAGAUAGCUCACAGCUUUCUUGAUUUCCCCAGCCUCUGGGGUAAGGAAAUACAUCUGUAAGAUAUUGUUACUCCAGUGUUUAUAGAUGUUAUAGUUAAUGUGUAUUUUGCAAUGGGAUAUUCUUUAACAGAAAUAUCACAUACCAGCUCUGCAAACAACUCAGGAAGGGAUCUGUUCCUGUAAGAAGAUGAUUCUGAAGAUGAAGUCUGUUGGUUAAGAUACCCAAAUGCAAAUGUGUGAUGUUCACUGCUAUUGUAUUAAUGUCCUGUUCCUAUCUGCUAUUUGCCCCAGUACACUUCUAUCUCAGGGGCUGACUUCCCCUUGUGACCGGUCUGCCAAUCGAGGGAAACAGUGGCUGGACACUCUUCAGAUCUCCAGGCAGUUCUCCACCUACCUGGGACCUUGGAAUUCACUGAGGACGCACCCCUAAAGACACUGUGUCUGCAGCCUUCCCUCCUCCUCUUAUUCCCCUCCCUCUCUCCUACACAUAGGUAGGGAGAGCUCUACACCCACUCUCAGCACUGAAGAAACUACAGAAAAUUUGGACCUCUGCCCUUUUCCCCUUAGAUCCUUGGAGAGAGGAGGGGAUGGGAUGGCAGGGGGUACUGAACCAGGUGGGGCCUGAAAUUCUGGCCCUCCGGGAGACUGUGUAGUUCCCCUAUGGAUGGCUGGGCCUGCUAGAUGGUAGGACUCACCAGAAGCAGUGGGGAGUCAUCUAGCAAAAGGAAUACAUGACCCACUCGCUUCCAUUACUUCACUUUCUCCCCACCUCUUGGUUCCCCCCUCCUUUGUCACAGAGUAUCCCUCAACCGGGAAAAACCUUAUCCCACCCGCAGGAGCACACUGGCUGUGCUCCCAUUCUCGCCUACAGCCCUGUGUCUCCCCUAGCUCCCUCACUGCCUGCUGCACCCCCUCACAGUAGUACCCUGAGUGACCUACUAUGCUGAGCAGGACCUCGUAUGUAGUGAGUAGAGGAUCCCCCCCCCAUUUACUUUGUAUGUACAUGAACGGAGAGGGGUAGUUUCAGGUGUUUUAACUCAAACUUUGGGACCUGCUCAGGCCCAGUUGCUUAUUAUUUGCUUAUUAUUUGGCCCAGCUGGACCCAGUAGCUUCAGGAGCACCACCAUGUCUUAGAGGCAUAGCUGCCAUAGCCUUGCUAGUGAGUAAAUCUGCUGAUUUAGUAUUGGGAUGCUCUCUAACUGUAAUGUGUCCACAUGAAGUCUAAGCAUUGUUACUACAACAUAGAACACAGGCAUUUUCUGAUCAGAGAAUUACAAGGUAUGAGGUAACUUUGUUGAAUAAUGAAAAUAUUACAUUAAAAUUCUGUGCAGUUCUAAAUCCUGUAACCUUGAUUCCCGAUUUACCAGUUUCAGGAGAACCUUUGCACAGUUGUGAAUCUUUAAUGUUUUUGUAACUAUAUUUUAUUGUCCAAAAAGUUUUUCAAACGUUUGAAUUUUGUAUUUUGAAUUUUGAAUUUCUGUAAUUGUAUGUUUUGCACUUGCAUUUGUGCAAGUAUGUUUUCACUGAUUAUUUGUUUUCAUUGAAAUUUUCUUUUCUUUGAUUUAUAACCCUAGUGCAGGUUAGCAUGGUGUAGCAAUAAGAAUAGGAUAAGAUAACUGUAAGAUUAAGACUAUUUGGGGGGGGGAUAUAAUAAUAAUGUUAGAUAUAGCUUUAGAAUUACAUAGAAUAGUGAGCAUAUGGAAGAGAUUUUUUAUCUCUUCCAUAUACUUGAAGGAGGGAAAUUAUAAGGAUGAUAUUAGAAAUUGGGUCUUGUUAUAUUAGUUUAGAGAUAAGUAGAGAAACUAGCUUGAGAAAGAAUUGGAGUUUGAAUUAGAUCUAAGAUAGAGUGUCAAUUUCAAAUGUUGACAGCAUGUAGGAGAGGUUUUAAUGGUUUUUCUGCAGCAGUUGGUCUCUGGGAGUGGCAGUUACACUGAGGGAUUAGUAGUUACACUCCCUCUCAGAGUGCUGGGAAGAGGUGACAACUUUUCUCCCUCUUUUCACUUUCUGAGGUAGAAGGAAAGGAGAGAAAAAUCUGAAGGAGCAAAGUGAUUUUCCUUUUCCAACUUGGGAAACACUAGUGACUAUCUAUUGCUGUUUCAUAAAUUGGUUUUCUAUCUGAGAAGACCAAAGAAAGACCUGAUCUUUGGUUUGGACUCUGAAUCUGCUAAGGCUCAGAGACCUAACUUCAUUUUUGCUGAAGCUCAGUCAGCUAGCCUUUGUUAUUUUGAUAAUUUGGAGACAAAGUUAAGAAGUAUAAGGAUAAUAGUGUUUAGUUUAUUGUAGAAUAGUGAAAAUUUGGGUUAGUCAGAUCAGGAAGGAUCAGUGUAGCCUGUGGAAACAGGAGAAGCACUUCCUUGUGGAACCAGGGAAUUUUAUUUGGGUGGAGUUAGAAUCCCUUAGAGCCAGAAAUCUUUUUUUAUCCUUAUAGUCUCAAUAAAUAGUUUAUUUUUAUAUAACAAGAGUCUCCUUAGUGUCCUUGAGCCUGGCCCUGAAAAGAAGUUCACUUAUGAGCUUCACUUUGCUAAUAUAAACUGAAGAUACUUUGUAAGCACAGCAAGCAAAGUAUCAAAUCAGUUUAUAAUCAAUAAUUAAUUCAGUGAUUAUUAUUUUUACAAUGUCCAUGGCUGAAAAACCUUAAAAUAAUCUACUGGAAACUCCUUUAAACAAUCCAGACCUCAUAUUAUUUCCUGAUGGUUCUUCUUUUAUGAAGGAUGGCAUAUGCUACACAGGAGCUGCUGUAGUUACAGAAUUUGCCAUUCUGUGGUCAGCUUCACUACCCUCAAACAUAAGUGCUCAAGGUGCAAAACUUAUAGCUCUAAAACAUGCCUGUAUAAUUGCCAAAGAUAAGAAGGAAACAAUUUACACAGAUUCUAGAUAUGCAUUCAUAAUAAUGUGUCAUGCAGUGGGCAUGCUUUGGCUUCAAAGGGGAUUUUUAACAUUAGCUGGAAAAUGUAUAGCUAAUGCAGAAAUUAUUAAUGAAGUUCUUUCUACCCUCUGGCUCCCUUAAGCUCUAGCUGUAGUUAAUUUCUCUGCCCAUACAUGUGGAACUGGCCCUGUCUCCAUGGGGAAUGACCAAGGAGAUACUGCUGCAAAGCUAGGGACAUUAGAAGGGCCUGAGUUAAUUUUAACAUUGUCAACUACUGAUGACUUAAAUCUCUCCCUUUCCUAUAAUGAAAAAAGAAGUGGAAAAAUGGAAGCAAAAAUUUGAGUCCAAAAAGAUAACUGGAGUAUGGGUAUCAUUUGAAGGGAAAUCCCUGCUCCCUAGGAGUUUUAUCACCAAAUUUGUCACUCCAUUCACAAAGAUAGUCAUUUUGGUGCCUAGGGCAUUAAGAACUCUGUUAAAAAAGUAUGGAUAGCCUCUGGCAUAACUACAAUAGCCUCUAAAGUGUAUAGAGCCUACCAUACCUGCUAAGCAUUUAAUCAGCAAGCUUUUCAUGGCAAAGCUUUUGGUAUGCAUCGUCUGUCUUACAUACUUUCUGAAUACCUGCAAAUUGACUUUAUCACUAUGCCAAAAGCUGAACAGUAUAAAUUUUGUCUGGCUAUAGUAAAUCAGCUGACCAGAUAGCCUGAAGCAUUUCCUACUGCUCAAGCCACAGCGGGGUUUUUUUGUGAAAGUGCUUUUAAAAGAAAUUAUUCCUUACUAUAGCUUGCCAGCAUGCAUUGAUUUGGAUAGAGGAACUCAUUUUACCAAUUCGAUCCUGUCUCAAAUUUUUUCAUGUUUGGGGAUAACUCUUAAAUUCCAUGUACCAUAACAUCCCCAGAGCUCAGGCCAAGUUGAAAGAAUGAAUAGAGAACUUAAAACUAUGAUUGGAAAAGUGCGCACUGAGACUCAUUUAAAAUGGCCUGAAAUUCUCCCUCUGGCCCCAUUUUAUCUUAGAACCAGGCCCAGAGGAAAUUUACACAUCUCACCACUUGAGAUGCUUUUUGAACAUCCUCCAAGCUAAGCCUUUCUCUCCUGCAAAUGCAUUGUUAUUAGGCGGAGAUACUUCAAUUGCCUCAUCGAUAUGGGAUUUGCAGACCAAAUUGCAAGAACUCCAUGAAUCCAGUGUUGCUACACAAGCAGGUCCUAUAGAAUUCUCACUCCCUGACUUGCACCCAGAAUCCAGAAAAGUGAACUGCUUACAGAGGGUGCCAUGAAGAUGCUUGCAGAGACCACACGCUGCUCCAAAAGAUCCUGCAUGAACUUUUGGAUGUGCUAAAUUGAAUUUUGUGGGGGUUGAAUGCAUUUGUUUUGAAUGUACACUUUUAUAUCAAAGGGGACUGUCCCUUAAUUGGUUUUUGUUCUUUUUCUCUUUCUUUUCCUCUUAUCCCCAAAUUAUUGUAAUUUCCCCAUAGAAACUGCAAUACUGUAUGUAACUUUAGUUAAAAAUCUUUAGAGUUAUAAGUUGGUUAUGUUUAAAAUGAUCCAUGGGGGAAAAUGGUCUCCCAACGGAUCCUGGGGAUAAAUAUGUAUUUUUUAAAAAAAGUGUACCCUGGGUACUAUAUCCCCCAGCAUUCUCUAUUCUUCCCAGGGUUCCCUUUUCUUAUGCCCUGGCAUGGGUUGGGCUAUAAAUGGGCUGAUCCCAUGCCAGGAGAGGUCUUUGCUAAGGCUUCAGUAGGCAGGCUGCUGGGGCUCUGGCUCUUGUUUUGGCUCCUACCCCUUUCUCUCUCUUACCCUUUAUUUUACUCUUACAAUAUCUAUGUGAAGAAAUACUUACAAUAGGGUUAGCAAGGUGGAACAAUAAUAGAGUGUCAGCUGGAUUGGGGGUAAGGGGGGAGACCAAGUUUCAAAUUUGUCCUCAGACAUUUUCUGGUUGGGUGACCUGAGGGAAGCCACUUAAAUCCAUUUGCCUAAUCCCUGAUCUUCUGUUUUAUAGUCCUUUCUAAGACAGAAAGUAAAGGUUAAAAAAAAGAGGAAAUAUUUAUAGUAGCACAAUUUGUAAUAGCAAAAAAACAAAAUAUCCCCCUCAAUGAUUACACGUGCCCACAGAAUUUGGGUUUUCUAAACAAACUGUGGUAUAUGAAUGUAACAGAUAAUGACUUCAACAUGAAAAAUCACAAAUUGGAUGAAUUUUAAAAACAUAGGAAAAUUUACAUGAAGUGAUGCAUAGUGCAUAAAGCAGAACCAAAAGGACAAUAUGGAAAAUUACUACAACUGUAUAAAUAAAGAUAAAUUUCAAUGUCAAAAAAAUCAGAUAAAAAUAAUGAUCAAUGUUGGUUCUAACUUAAAAAGCAUAGGGGUUCAGUUUUUUAAUAAACUAUUAAAGGAAAGGCUGUGCACACUACUGAUUGCCAUUUUAUUUACUUAUUUUCAGAGAAUGUACAUUAUAGAGGAUUCAUAUGGGAAUAUGCUGGGGAGUUUUAUGGCAUGUGGAAAUAAAAGUUUGUUCAAUCUUCAUUUCCUUCAGGAUUCUGUACUUCCUCAGGCACUGAUUCACUUUCUUUCUUUAAAUCCUUACUUUCUGUCUUAGAAUCAAUACUAUGUAUUGGUUCCAAGGGAGAAGAGCAGUAAGGUCUAGGCAGUGGGGGUUAAGUGAAAUAUCCAGGGUCACACAGCUAGGAAAUGCCUGAGAGCCAGGACUAGAGUUGGGAGGGUCUGGAGGUCACAUCUGAAUCCAGGCCCUCCUGUCUGUAGGCCUGGUUCUCGAUCCCCAGAGCCACCUCACUGCCCCCCAUGUUGGCUCACUUCUGUUGUCUUAUAGUAUCUAUUAAGAAAAUUUUAAAUUAUCGUUCAAGAUUUCAUUUAGGAGCCUCUCUAUUGAUUUACCUGCUUGUGUACUGGCCUUUUAUGUUUUUCUCUUGAAAUCUUUGGUAUUUCAGUCUGACUGACAUUCCCUUUCUGGGUCCUCCCUUGUUAUGGGCACACCCAGGAGGCUGGGCUAUCCUGUCUCUGGGUUUCUGACCUGGCUAGCCCUUCUACCUAGAAUGUUCACCCUCCUCAUCUCUUAGUUUCUCUGGCUUCCUUCAGGAGUCAGCUCAAAUCCUGCCUUCAGCAGGAGGUUUUUCUUGGUGUCCUCAGAUGCUAGUGAUUUCCUUUCUGAGUCUGUCUUCCAUCUACUCUGUAUAUUUCUUGUAAGUGCCUGUCUAUUAGCAUACUGUCUUUCCUUUUAGAAGGUGAGCUCUUUGAGGGAAGGGUUUUUUUUGCCUUUCUUUGUAUCCCCAGCUUAGUACUUAAUCUAGUU